rnacentral:rRNA from 1 species
GUGCCAGCCGCCGCGGUAAUACGGAGGGUGCAAGCGUUAAUCGGAAUUACUGGGCGUAAAGCGCACGCAGGCGGUCUGUCAAGUCGGAUGUGAAAUCCCCGGGCUCAACCUGGGAACUGCAUUCGAAACUGGCAGGCUGGAGUCUCGUAGAGGGAGGUAGAAUUCCAGGUGUAGCGGUGAAAUGCGUAGAGAUCUGGAGGAAUACCGGUGGCGAAGGCGGCCUCCUGGACGAAGACUGACGCUCAGGUGCGAAAGCGUGGGGAGCAAACAGGAUUAGAUACCCUGGUAGUCCACGCUGUAAACGAUGUCGAUUUGGAGGUUGUGCCCUUGAGGCGUGGCUUCCGGAGCUAACGCGUUAAAUCGACCGCCUGGGGAGUACGGCCGCAAGGUUAAAACUCAAAUGAAUUGACGGGGGCCCGCACAAGCGGUGGAGCAUGUGGUUUAAUUCGAUGCAACGCGAAGAACCUUACCUGGUCUUGACAUCCACAGAACCUGGCAGAGAUGCCGGGGUGCCUUCGGGAACUGUGAGACAGGUGCUGCAUGGCUGUCGUCAGCUCGUGUUGUGAAAUGUUGGGUUAAGUCCCGCAACGAGCGCAACCCUUAUCCUUUGUUGCCAGCGGUCCGGCCGGGAACUCAAAGGAGACUGCCAGUGAUAAACUGGAGGAAGGUGGGGAUGACGUCAAGUCAUCAUGGCCCUUACGACCAGGGCUACACACGUGCUACAAUGGCGCAUACAAAGAGAAGCGACCUCGCGAGAGCAAGCGGGACCUCAUAAAGUGCGUCGUAGUCCGGGAUUGGAGUCUGCAACUCGACUCCAUGAAGUCGGGAAUCGCUAGUAAUCGUGAAUCAGAAUGUCACGGUGAAUACGUUCCCGGGCCUUGUACACACCCGCCCGUCACACCAUGGGGAGUGGGGUUGCAAAGAAGUAGGUAGCUUAACCUUCGGGAGGGCGCCUUACCACUUUGUGAUUCAUGAACUGGGGGUGAAGUCGUAUCAAGGUAACCGUAGGGGAACCUGGCGCUGUAUCACUCUCCUAUUCUCAAGAAGGAUCCCGGUACGGAGCUUCGAAUUCCGAAACAUGAUCUAGCU